UUCCAAUGUCUAAUUGCUCUUUCUGUGAAAAAAAUGUUUCUAAUGUCCAACCUAGACCUCACCUGGUGCAGCUUAAGACUGUCCUCUAGUCCUAUCACUCGUUGCUUGGGAGAAGAGACCAACCCUCACCUUGCAACAACCUCCUUUCAGGUAGAAACAUGGCACCACAUCCUCAUGUGGCUGCGCUGACAGACAUGUGGACUCUGUGGAGCUCCUAGGGGAACAGGAUGGAAGCACCUGACGUGAACACUUGUUGGCAACUAUACAGCCAAAGAAACACGGAAGGUUUGAAGCCAUUCCCCCUUGGCCUGUCACUACAUGAGAUGCUCCAGUUAUACUUUAAAUUGUAUUUGAAGAGAGAUGCUCCAGUCCCUUAAUCAUCUUUGUUGCCCUCCGCUAGACCUGCUGCAGGAGCUCCAUGUCUCUCUUUUCCUGAGAAGCACAGAACUGGGCACAGCACGCCAGGUGAGGCCUCAUCACGACUGAAUAGAGGGGCAGGAUCACCUCCCUCGACCUGCUGUCAAUGCUCUUCCUAAUGCAGCUCGGGAUACCAUUGGCCCUCCUGGCCGCCAAGGUACACUGCUGGCUCAUGGACAGUUUGUUGUCCACCAGGACGGAAUUCACAGAAGUUAUCUGUAUAAACGAAGCCCUUUAUGGAGUCUAUACAUCCCCGCAGAUCACGGAUGUUCCCUGUACAUGCCCACGGCAGUACGGAUGUUCCCUGUACAUGCCCACGGCAGUACGGAUGUUCCCAUACGCGGGUGUCUCCGAGCGGGAACGCCGGGCUCGCAGCGCCCCCUGCGGGAGCACAGGGGAACUGCAGGCGCCGGCACAGGGCUCACGGCACGGGAGGGGAAACACCCACCAAAAAAUCCAACUUCACUCGCAUCACAAACCCGCUGUUACAAGGGCGAACUCCUAUCGUUGCAUCUUUCAUGGAGGAAAAAAAAAAUCGUUGGAGUUUUUAUUUGUAGUCUUUGCCUCCUGCUUGCUAAUAGGCGUUCAGCACCAACCUGCCUUCCCUGUGAUGCAGUUUUAGUAUCCAGAAAUGACAACGCAGCAGGUUUCCCCACAUCAAAGCUCUGACAGGAGUCUUUGAACUACAAAAGCCAUAAUCAAAAAGUAAUAAAAACCACCCUGAGACAGGAUUUGUGUUGUCAGCCUUAUACGGCAUGAAAUGGCAUCUUUUAGCACUCAUUUAUAUUUAAUUCAAAGUGAAAGGAGCCCAAAAUGAAAAUAUGGUUGUCUAAAUAGAUACUUUCUUGUAUAUUCCCACAGUAACACGUGUUCCUAAUUUGCAGGAAAUAGAUCUUGAAAGCAUUAGCUGAAACAAACUGCUAAAUUAAUAAAUACUGAUGGUCCUGUUGUUAAGUAGAAUAAUAACCUAAAGAUGCAGUUUGUUAUGACAUCCAGUAAACAUUCUCCUUGUAGUACAUCAGUAAUUACCUCACUUUUUUUUUCCUUUUUUAAUCCUGUUACUGUCUUGUGUGACAAGGUCUAGUGUUUGGAGUUUCUUGUGCUCCUACAUGACAAAAAAAAAAAAAAAGUAUGGAUAUGCAUCCCCCUCUCUCUAUUUCUUCUCAGCUUCUAGUAACUUCACAAAACCAAACCAGAGGUCUACUUCUCUCUUCAUCAGAGACCUCACAGUAAGUUAUUUUUUCCAACUGUUCAUUUAAGAGCAUCCCUAAGAAAGAAGGUGCAAACUGACAGUCUGCAGCGGGAUAGGGAACAUCUCCCUCAAAUGCUACCAUUUUCAGGGACUGUCCCCUCCCAUUCCAUCAGGACUGUCAAGGCCCACAAGCCACCAGGCUCAACCUCGAUGAACUUCUGGUAGGACACUCACCAGCUGGCAACAUCCGAGUCCUACUGUGUUUUCUGUCUUUGGCUGUCCUUCCCAAGACUCCUUUGUGAGAAAGGAGAGCUCAGUUCCAACCUAGACCUGAAGAACUUGACCAGGUGCAAAGACAUUGCUGCAGGUUCAGGAUGUCAGGAUGAGGUAAAGGUCACUCCUAGCUCAUGGACCUUGAGUCACAGUGGGCGUACUUACAGUGGCACUUUGCCACUUCCCCACUACCUUAGGACUGUUUAGCUGUGUCUCCUGACAGAUCAAAACCAAACAUCGUUAGAAUCAGCUGUUGGCAUUCGGAUCCUACUUGGGUUUUGUAGUGUUGCACAAGUGCUAGCAGCAGUGGGCAACCCACUUCCAAAGACAGAACACUCACUCUUACCCGGAUAAUUUGAUAGACAAAGUUCCCUGGAAGAUGCAGUGAUGAUCCUGUCAUUUGUCCUGUUAUUUGUUUCUUCUUGCUUAGUUUCCUGCUGAUCUGCAGUGGAAAAAUUUGUAUUAGGCAUUCAUUAUGACUCUAACAGCAGACUCUGCUCUUGCUG